rnacentral:rRNA from 1 species
AGCAGCCGCGGUAAUUCCAGCUCCAAUAGCGUAUAUUAAAGUUGUUGCAGUUAAAAAGCUCGUAGUUGAAUUUCGGGGUUAGUAGGUUGGUCAUGCCUCUGGUAUGUACUGGUCUCACUGAUUCCUCCUUCCUGAUGAACCUUAAUGCCAUUUAUUUGGUGUUUUGGGGAAUUUGGACUGUUACUUUGAAAAAAUUAGAGUGUUUAAAGCAAGCUAACGCUUGAAUACAUUAGCAUGGAAUAAUGAAAUAGGACGUUCGAUCCUAUUUUGUUGGUUUCUAGGAUUGACGUAAUGAUUAAUAGGGAUAGUUGGGGGCAUUAGUAUUCAAUUGUCAGAGGUGAAAUUCUUGGAUUUAUUGAAGACUAACUACUGCGAAAGCAUUUGCCAAGGAUGUUUUCAUUAAUCAAGAACGAAAGUUAGGGGAUCGAAGACGAUCAGAUACCGUCGUAG